rnacentral:rRNA from 1 species
GCGGUGCAUGGCCGUUUCUAGUUGGUGGAGUGAUUUGUCUGCUUAAUUGCGAUAACGAACGAGACCUUUGCGGGGGGUUGGGGACAGUUUCUGUAGUUAUACGGAAGGAUGUUCCGUUCUACCCGGAUUAUUGUCGUUACAAGAUAAAUGAAACGAAAGGCUACAACAGGUCUCUAUGCCCUUAGAUGUGCUGGGCCGCACGCGCGCUACAAUGAAAGGGAUCAGGAAGUAAUCGACCUUUUUUGAUAAAAAUGGGAAAUCUUUUAAAUCCUUUCGUGGUUUGGGAUUAAUUAUUGCAAUUAUUAAUUAUGAACAUGGAAUCUCUAGUAAGGGUAGGUCAUCAGCCUAACCUGACUACGUCCCUGCCCUUUGUACACACCGCCCGUCGCUCCUACCGAUCGAGCGAUACGGUGAACCUUCUGGACUACCAGGACCCUUGAGGUCUUAGUGGGAAGUUAAGUAAACCUUAUCACUUAGAGGAAGGAGAAGUCGUAACAAGGUUUCCGUAGGUGAACCUGCAGAAGGAUCA